UACGAAGGGGGCUAGCGUUGUUCGGAAUCACUGGGCGUAAAGCGCACGUAGGCGGAUCUUUAAGUCAGGGGUGAAAUCCCGAGGCUCAACCUCGGAACUGCCUUUGAUACUGGGGAUCUCGAGUCCGGGAGAGGUGAGUGGAACUGCGAGUGUAGAGGUGAAAUUCGUAGAUAUUCGCAAGAACACCAGUGGCGAAGGCGGCUCACUGGCCCGGAACUGACGCUGAGGUGCGAAAGCGUGGGGAGCAAACAGA
rnacentral:rRNA from 1 species